GACGAACGCUGGCGGCGUGCCUAACACAUGCAAGUCGAACGGAGUUCCUUCGGGGACUUAGGGGCGAACGGGUGAGUAACGCGUGAGAAACCUGCCUUUAAGUGGUGGACAACAGUGGGAAACUACUGCAAAUACCGCAUAAUGUUAAGUGGGGGCAUCCCUGAAUAACGAAAGAUUUAUUGCUGAAAGGUGGUCUCGCGUCUGAUUAGCUAGUUGGUGGGGUAACGGCUAACAAAGGCGACGAUCAGUCGCCGGUGUGAGAGGACGAACGGCCACAUUGAGACUGAGAUACGGCCCAGACUCCUACGGGAGGCAGCAGUGGGGAAUAUUGGGCAAUGGGCGAAAGCCUGACCCAGCAACGCCGCGUGAAGGAAGAAGGCCUUCGGGUUGUAAACUUCUUUUACCAGGGACGAACAAAUGACGGUACCUGGAGAAAAAGCAACGGCUAACUACGUGCCAGCAGCCGCAGUAACAC
rnacentral:rRNA from 1 species